rnacentral:rRNA from 1 species
UACGUAGGCAGCAAGCGUUGUUCGGAGUUACUGGGCGUAAAGGGUGUGUAGGCGGUUCUUUAAGUUGGUGUGAAAUCUCCCGGCUUAACCGGGAGGGUGCGCCGAAUACUGAGGGACUCGAGUGCGGGAGAGGAAAGUGGAAUUCCUGGUGUAGCGGUGAAAUGCGUAGAUAUCAGGAGGAACACCGGUGGUGUAGACGGCUUUCUGGACCGUAACUGACGCUGAAACACGAAAGCGUGGGUAGCAAACAGG